GACUCGUUAGCUCAGUUGGUAAGAGCGCCGAUUUUAAGAAACAAAACAUACCUAAACAUACAUCGGAGGUCGGAGGUUCGAAUCCUUCACGAGUCA